UACGUAGGGCGCAAGCGUUAUCCGGAAUUAUUGGGCGUAAAGAGCUCGUAGGCGGUCUGUCGCGUCGGCUGUGAAAUCCCGGAGCUCAACUCCGGGUCUGCAGUCGAUACGGGCAAACUGGAGUACUGCAGGGGAGACUGGAAUUCCUGGUGUAGCGGUGAAAUGCGCAGAUAUCAGGAAGAACACCCGUGGCUAAGGCGGCUCUCUAGUACGGUACUGACGCUGAGACGCGAAAGCGUGGGGAGCGAACAGG
rnacentral:rRNA from 1 species